AUGAUGAGACCCUAUUCAAAUAUUUAUGGUUAGAACAUAUCUGACAUUAAUGAAUUGAUGAUAAACUAGGGCGGUCUGAGAUU
rnacentral:snoRNA from 1 species